GAUUAUGGCCCAGGAUGAACGCUGGCGGCGUGCAUAACACAUCAAGUCGAACGGGCAGUAUUCCGUUCGGGGGUGCUGCUAGUGGCGGACGGGUGAGUAACGCGUGAGCAACCUGCCUCUGUGAGUGGAAUAACACAGGGAAACUUGUGCUAAUACCGCAUGACGAAGCGAAGCCGCAUGACUUUGCUUCCAAAGAUUUAUCGCACAGAGAUGGGCUCGCGUCCGAUUAGGCAGUUGGUGAGGUAACGGCUCACCAAACCGACGAUCGGUAGCCGGACUGAGAGGUUGAACGGCCACAUUGGAACUGAGAUACGGUCCAGACUCCUACGGGAGGCAGCAGUGGGGAAUAUUGGGCAAUGGGGCGCAAGCCUGACCCAGCGACGCCGCGUGAGGGAAGAAGGUCUUCGGAUUGUAAACCUCUUUGACAGGGGACGAAGUAAGUGACGGUACCCUGAAAACAAGCCACGGCUAACUACGUGCCAGCCGCCGC
rnacentral:rRNA from 1 species